rnacentral:rRNA from 1 species
GACGAACGCUGGCGGCGUGCUUAACACAUGCAAGUCGAACGGUAAGGCCCUUCGGGGUACACGAGUGGCGAACGGGUGAGUAACACGUGGGUCAUCUGCCCUGCACUUCGGGAUAAGCCUGGGAAACUGGGUCUAAUACCGGAUAGGACCACUGCCUGCAUGGGUGGUGGUGGAAAGCUUUUGCGGUGUGGGAUGGGCCCGCGGCCUAUCAGCUUGUUGGUGGGGUGAUGGCCUACCAAGGCGACGACGGGGAGCCGGCCUGAGAGGGUGACCGGCCACACUGGGACUGAGCUACGGCCUAGAGUCCUACGGGAGGAAGCAGUGGGGAAUAUUGCACAAUGGGCGCAAGCCUGAUGCAGCGACGCCGCGUGAGGGAUGACGGCCUUCGGGUUGUAAACCUCUUUCAGCACCGACGAAGCGCAAGUGACGGUAGGUGCAGAAGAAGGACCGGCCAACUACGUGCCAGCAGCCGCGGUAA